rnacentral:piRNA from 1 species
UAAUACAGUGUUAUAUGCUGCAGCCUU